AGGUCCAGCCUGCCCAGUGAUAAAAUUCAACGGCCGCGGUACCCUGACCGUGCGAAGGUAGCAUAAUCACUUGUUCUUUAAAUAGGGACUUGUAUCAACGGCACCACGAGGGUUGUACUGUCUCCCUUCUCUAAUCAGUGAAUCUGAUCUCCCCGUGAAGAAGCGGGGAUAAAACCAUAAGACGAGAAGACCCCAUGGAGCUUCAAACUAAACGGCAACUUAAUUAAUAAUUUUUCCCCCCUUAAAAUAAAGAUAUGCAUGGAAGUUUUGGGUUGGGGCGACCGCGGAGAACAAAAUACCCUCCGUAACGAAAAUAACUAAACCUUUAUCCUAGAGCCACCCCUCAAAGAAUUAGUACCCUAACGAACAAUGACCCGAUUAUCGAUCAAUGAACCAAGUUACCCUGGGGAUAACAGCGCAAUCUACUCCAAGAGUCCGUAUCGACAAGUAGGUUUACGACCUCGAUGUUGGAUCAGGAUACCCCAGUGG
rnacentral:rRNA from 1 species